GUGUCUGUAUUUUGCCCUCAGCAAGUUUAGAGGCUGAUCAGUUUAGACGCUGAUCAUGUCCACAUAUAUACCGCGCGCCUCCCAGCACACAACGCGGAAGAUUAUCCUAGAGUUAGAUUGGUUUGUUUAGUAGUCAUAGUCACGGUCCAUGUUUAGAGUUCGUUCACGCUGGAUUAUCCGCUCCCAGUUCCUCGUCAUAGUUGAUGUUUCUCGUUUAGUUUAUCGACCCUGUUUUCCGUGGCCACGACCUUGAUUCAUGUUUAACCCUGUGUAUGCCUGUUUGCCGAUCGCCUGACCUUCGCCUGUUUUGGAUUAUGUUUUGGAUUUGUCUGCCUGUCUCUCUUUUAAAAUAAACAACUGUUCAUACUGCAAUUGCAUCCGUCCUAUCUCCGCUCCGUCACGAUACGUGACAUCGAGUUAAACCUGAUUUCACAUCGCUGGGCUUGUGUGACCACUAGGAUAGCCCAGAAGAAGCUCAUUAAAGCCUACAGGAAGUUCUCACAGCAGUGACACCCAGACAACGUCCAGGAUCCUGAAGAGAAGAACAAGGCUGAGAAGAAGUUCAUAGACAUCGCACAGGCCAAGGAAGUGCUCACUGAGCCAGAAACGAGGAGUUCAUUUGACAAGGGUGAAGACCCAAUGGACCCUGAGAGCAAGCACGGAGAAGGCCAUCACCAUUUCCACGGGGCCUGGGAGAGUUUCCAGGGCUUUAACCCUUUUGGCUCUGGACUGUUCAACUUUAAAUUCAACUUUAACUAAGAUCAUCCAGGAGGACAUCAGUCUGAUCUGAAUAUAUAGCAUCAGGCAUCCAGCGAGAAGUGUAACCUGUUGAACCUGUUUGACACUAACUGCCAUAGAUGUGGCUACAGAAGCCACUGUGGCAUGAAGAUGCAUCAUAUGCUGUUGAAUAUUCUCAGACUUGCCAAGCUGAGCUAAGUGGUAUUAUAUAAAGUAAUUAUUUCAGGGACCAUCAGAGUGUGGGGGUUCAUUCCCAAGCAACCAACUAUCCUAAAACUAUUGUGUGUGUGUGUGUGUGUGUGUGUGUGUGUGUGUGUGUGUGUAUAGGAGACUGCACUAUUUUUCUAUCAGUUAAAUAAUGCUGCAUUGUAAAUACACAAUUAAAGAUAUUACGUAUUUAAUUAAAAAGAAAGUGACAUUAUUCUCCGAUUUCGCUGUUGUAAUGCAAAUCACUAUUGGAGGAUUCCUUUAGUUGAACUUUUCAUUUUGUAUAGCACUUACAGACAUCGUCACAAAGCAUCUGGACUGACAGAUGUAGAUUUAGAUCCCUAUCGAGCAAGCUGGAGGUGAAAAACUCCCCGAGACAUCAUGAAGAAGAAACCUAAGAGAGGAAGCAAACUCAAAAGGGUCCUGUUGACACUGGAUAGUGGGAUUACAAAUCAUUACCAGUAUGCAGAUGUAAUAGAGGAAAAGGCAAACAAAUGUGUUCGUGUCAACAUCCUAGGAUGAGUACAGCAGCAGUUUUUAGCAAGCACAAAUCUGCACUAUCAAGUGUUUUCUGGUUUCUAGCUUAUUGUGAAAUCAGACUACUGAUUAUACCUUGCUCUUGAAGCUAGCCCUUUGUGCACAAAAAUGUAAAUAAUAAAGA